rnacentral:tRNA from 1 species
GGGGAUGUGGCGGAAUUGGCAGACGCGCUAGAUUUAGGAUCUAGUGCCGAAAGGCGUGAGAGUUCGAGUCUCUCCAUCCCCA